AACGAACGCUGGCGGCAUGCCUAACACAUGCAAGUCGAACGAGACCUUCGGGUCUAGUGGCGCACGGGUGCGUAACGCGUGGGAACCUGCCCUUAGGUUCGGAAUAACUCCCCGAAAGGGGUGCUAAUACCGGAUAAUGUCUUCGGACCAAAGAUUUAUCGCCUUUGGAUGGGCCCGCGUUGGAUUAGCUAGUUGGUAGGGUAAAAGCCUACCAAGGCGACGAUCCAUAGCUGGUCUGAGAGGAUGAUCAGCCACACUGGGACUGAGACACGGCCCAGACUCCUACGGGAGGCAGCAGUGGGGAAUAUUGGACAAUGGGCGAAAGCCUGAUCCAGCAAUGCCGCGUGAGUGAUGAAGGCCUUAGGGUUGUAAAGUUCUUUUACCCGGGAUGAUAAUGACAGUACCGGGAGAAUAAGCGCCGGCUAACUCCGUG
rnacentral:rRNA from 1 species